AACGAACGCUGGCGGCAUGCCUAACACAUGCAAGUCGAACGAUGGCUUCGGCCAUAGUGGCGCACGGGUGCGUAACGCGUGGGAAUCUGCCCUUAGGUACGGAAUAACUCGGGGAAACUCGUGCUAAUACCGUAUGAUGACGUAAGUCCAAAGAUUUAUCGCCUAGGGAUGAGCCCGCGUAGGAUUAGCUUGUUGGUGAGGUAAAGGCUCACCAAGGCGACGAUCCUUAGCUGGUCUGAGAGGAUGAUCAGCCACACUGGGACUGAGACACGGCCCAGACUCCUACGGGAGGCAGCAGUGGGGAAUAUUGGACAAUGGGCGAAAGCCUGAUCCAGCAAUGCCGCGUGAGUGAUGAAGGCCCUAGGGUUGUAAAGCUCUUUUA
rnacentral:rRNA from 1 species